rnacentral:rRNA from 1 species
AUUGAACGCUGGCGGCAGGCCUAACACAUGCAAGUCGAGCGGAUGAAGGGAGCUUGCUCCUGGAUUCAGCGGCGGACGGGUGAGUAAUGCCUAGGAAUCUGCCUGGUAGUGGGGGAUAACGUCCGGAAACGGGCGCUAAUACCGCAUACGUCCUGAGGGAGCAAGUGGGGGAUCUUCGGACCUCACGCUAUCAGAUGAGCCUAGGUCGGAUUAGCUAGUUGGUGGGGUAAAGGCCUACCAAGGCGACGAUCCGUAACUGGUCUGAGAGAAUGAUCAGUCACACUGGAACUGAGACACGGUCCAGACUCCUACGGGAGGCAGCAGUGGGGAAUAUUGGACAAUGGGCGAAAGCCUGAUCCAGCCAGGCCGCGUGUGUGAAGAGGGUCUUCGGAUUGUAAAGCACUUUAAGUUGGGAGGAAGGGCAGUAAGUUAAUACCUUGCUGUUUUGACGUUACCAACAGAAUAAGCACUGGCUAACUUCGUG